AUACCUUUUUCGGUCUUUUGGCUAAGAUCAAGUGUAGUGUCUGUUCUCAUCCAAUAGUUAUGCCGGUGCAUGCAUACAAUGUAAAAUGACGUCGUUUUGACUAAAAAUGUGCGUCCCACUUAAAAAAAGAAAAAUUCAUAUUCAAUUUUCGGUAAUAGCAUUAUUGUGGAUAUAUAGUUAUGAAU
rnacentral:snRNA from 1 species